rnacentral:rRNA from 1 species
UCGAGGAUCUUUAGCAAUGCCCGAAAGGGUGACUAUGCGACGCCGCGUGUGGGAUGAAGGCCUUCGGGUCGUAAACCACUGUCAGGGAGGAAGAAACCUUACGUGUUAACAGCGCGUAAGCUGACAUCACUCCCAAAGGAAGCCACGGCUAACUCUGUGCCAGCAGCCGCGGUAAGACAGAGGUGGCAAGCGUUGUUCGGAUUUAUUGGGUGUAAAGGGUCCGUAGGUGGCCUAACAAGUCUGAUGUGAAAUCCCAUGGCUCAACCGUGGAACUGCAUUGGAAACUGUUGGGCUUGAGUACCGCAGAGGUAAAGGGAAUUCCCGGUGUAAGGGUGAAAUCUGUAGAUAUCGGGAGGAACACCAGUGGCGAAGGCGCUUUACUGGGCGGUUACUGACACUGAGGGACGAAAGCAAGGGGAGCAAACGGGAUUAGAUACCCCCGUAGUCCCUGAGCGGGCUGGCAAGGCGCAU